rnacentral:rRNA from 1 species
AUUGAACGCUGGCGGCAGGCCUAACACAUGCAAGUCGAACGGUAACAGGGAUCAGCUUGCUGAUUCGCUGACGAGUGGCGGACGGGUGAGUAAUGUCUGGGAAACUGCCUGAUGGAGGGGGAUAACUACUGGAAACGGUAGCUAAUACCGCAUAACGUCGCAAGACCAAAGAGGGGGACCUUCGGGCCUCUUGCCAUCGGAUGUGCCCAGAUGGGAUUAGCUAGUAGGUGGGGUAACGGCUCACCUAGGCGACGAUCCCUAGCUGGUCUGAGAGGAUGACCAGCCACACUGGAACUGAGACACGGUCCAGACUCCUACGGGAGGCAGCAGUGAGGAAUAUUGCACAAUGGGCGCAAGCCUGAUGCAGCCAUGCCGCGUGUAUGAAGAAGGCCUUCGGGUUGUAAAGUACUUUCAGCGGGGAGGAAGGGAGUAAAGUUAAUACCUUUGCUCAUUGACGUUACCCGCAGAAGAAGCACCGGCUAACUCCGUG